AGGAUAAACGCUGGCGGCGUGCCUAACACAUGCAAGUCGAACGUCUCUUCUUUCGGGAAGAGGAGUGGCGGACGGGUGAGGAACACGUGGGAACCUGCCCUUUAGUGAGGAAUACCGGCGAGAAAUCGCCGACAAGACCGCAUAGCCCUCUUUGAUGAGAGUCAAAGAAGGAAAGCUUCGCAAGAGGCGCUAGAGGAGGGGCCUGCGUCCGAUUAGCUAGUUGGUGGGGUAAGAGCCUACCAAGGCGUCGAUCGGUAGCUGGUCUGAGAGGACGAUCAGCCACACUGGGAUUGAGAACGGCCCAGACUCCUACGGGGGGCAGCAGUGAGGAAUUUUCGGCAAUGGGGGAAACCCUGACCGAGCAACGCCGCGUGCAGGAAGACGGCCUUCGGGUUGUAAACUGCUUUUCUUUGGGACGAGGAAGGACGGUACCGAGAGGGAAUCAGCCCCGGCUCACUACGUGCCAGCAGCCGC
rnacentral:rRNA from 1 species